rnacentral:lncRNA from 1 species
CAGCCGACACCUGCCAGGUGGGUCCACAGACUCCAGCCUGCCAGACAGGCACAGUCCUGGCCAUCACCCCUUCCGCCUCCCCAGGCACUCCCAUGUGGAGUUCUUGUGCUCUGGGCCCUUCUACAGGGCCCAUACUGGCUCCCUGGCCCACUAGAGUGACCAUGUCCUGUCUGCCUGCCUCCCGCUGUGCCGGGAGCCCUGUGUCCUCACCCUUCACCUCUGCCUCACACUCAGAGGCUCACAGUUGGUGUGUCUCUCCCAGGCAGUGCCUCUUCUCCAGCCCUCCUGCAGCCCCUGGCAGGGGCUGUGGGCCAGCUCUGGAGCCAGCACCAGCGUCCCUCGGCCACCUGUGCCUCCUGGUCGGGCUUCCACUACCGCACCUUUGAUGGCCGCCACUAUCACUUCCUGGGCCGCUGCACCUACCUGCUGGCGGGUGCUGCGGACUCCACCUGGGCUGUCCACCUAACACCCGGGGACCGCUGCCCCCAGCCUGGACACUGUCAGCGGGUCCAGGUGACUAUGGGACCCGAGGAGGUGCUGAUCCAGGCUGGAAAUGUGUCUGUGAAGGGGCAGCUGGUACCUGAAGGGCAGUCUUGGCUGCUCCACGGGCUGAGCCUGCAAUGGCUGGGGGACUGGCUGGUGCUGUCAGGAGGCCUGGGGGUCGUGGUGCGGCUGGACAGGACUGGCUCCAUCUCCAUCUCUGUGGACCACGAGCUCUGGGGACAGACACAAGGCCUCUGUGGGCUCUACAAUGGCUGGCCAGAGGAUGACUUCAUGGAGCCAGGCGGAGGGCUGGCCAUGUUAGCAGCCACCUUUGG